GGAAAUCGGGGAGAUGGGGUAAUUUGGGCAUUUCUGGCAAUUCCGGCUUCGGUAUUGUUGGUAUUUCAGGCUUUGGCAGUUCUGGAAAUAGCGGUAAUUCGACUAUUGGCAGUGAUGGCAAUUCAAGCUUUUGCAAGUUUGGGAUGUCGGGAAGGUGAAGCAAUUCAGGCCUUAGUAGUUCAGGAUCCUCAAGCAACGCCGCCUCCAAAAUUCGGCAAGCUUUGAUGGAGUUCUCGCCAACCAUCAAUGACAGAGCAAGGACAAAUAAUGCCAAAAGAAGCAUGAGCCCACAGUAGUUCGCCAUCAUAGAACCGAUCUACUAGCAAAUUGAAAAACUUCGAGUGAAGAAGAGGUCGAUCUCAAGUGAGAAGGUGCAGAAGUGAUCGAGCAAUGGCUUGAUGGAGGGCUUUUAAAGAGGAGGGACGUGGGGAUCGGCGAGAUUGCAAGUAUGUUUUGGAGGGAAAAUAAUCGAAGUGUUCGUUCAACUUCCAAACCAAUCUCAUUUCUUUUGUUCAACAACAAGAUGGAGCAGAUAAUUCCAAAAAGGAUCUUUCUAUUAUUGGUUUUUUUUAAGCUUGUAACUACGAGUUGUGUUUGACUUCCUAGCUAGGCGGGAAAGACAAAGGAAAUGAUUUAUGAUCUCACUCUAUGUACAAGAGGACGAAGUCCAUGGCUUUGGUCAGCGAAGUCAAUAAUGUUAAGAGUAAAAUCUAAGUUUUUCCAGUGAUAAUUAUACAUGAAAUGUAUUCUUGAUCCAAAGAUUACUCAAGUGGUAGGCACAUUCCUUCUCUUUCUCUGAUAAUUUCGUAAACCUAUGUGUAUCUGGUAAUUUCUUGAUAUGCAUGGGACAAGGCAGCAACCACUGUUAAGGCUAUUAUUUUGGGCCUCAGUAGAGAAGCUUGUGGUCAAGUUGAGGGUAAGGCCACUACCUUUGGAGGGGCCAAAGAUGGAGUUGGUGACGUCCAAGUCGACUUUGGAGGAGAUGCUAAUCGCUUCUUCAGAAAUUGGGGGUUUAAGAUCCAUAAAAUUGCGAGGUCAGAAAGGAGAAGACUAAACUUUACGGGAGAUUGAAGAACUGCCAACUUCCAACAAAAUUGCUGAUCGAAUGGAAGGAUUCGAUUGGGUAAUCCAAGGACUCUGAGUUAAGAGCACCGAGGACAUCAAUCAAUUGGAUGGGGGAGAAUACCAUGGACCGGAGGCUCUCAAGGCGCAAUAGGUGGAGGAGAUGGCCGAGUGACCGGACGUGUCUUAGAUUUUAGAGAAGCCUUAUCCUUAAUGGAGGCAUGUGGUGAACGAAGAAUAGGUAUUCAUUAUUCUGGUCUUUAUGUGCAUUUACUUCUCUGUUUUCCUUUUCCCCUAAAAAAGAGCGGUCCUAGGGGCGGAAUCAAUUUGGGAGAAAUUAGUUUUUCUUUUCCUUAUUUGAUCUGGACUUGCAAUUGGAUGAAUAUUUGGUUAUUAUCCUUCUAAGUAAUUUGCUAAAAAUUACUACCUCUCAAUAUAUACACGCUGAUUCACAAUGAAAAAAAGAAGAAAAGAAUUUGCGAUAUUCUAUUCCUUUUGUGUGGAUCAUCCUUCUUAUCAGUAUCUAGAAAAGCAAUUGAUUUUUUUGACAUAUACUUUUUUUUUUUAUUAAUUCAAUUUCAAAUUUGUUAAGUGACAGCUAAAGUUAACUGUACCUAAAAAUUUGGCAGAGUUACAACGAGACAAAAGAGUUGCUGAGGGAUUUUUUCUUUAUAAGAAGUAGCAAAAUUGAUUUAGAGCUAAUGUUCUGAAAUUAUCUUUUGUGAUCCAUCUCGUCCUAUAACGUAAUAGCCAAGCUUGCAAGCUUUUUCAAAGAUUCGGGUAUUGGUGUCGCUGUAGGCUUAUAUAGGGGUUUUUUUUGUAAGAUUAACCUUACGGACAACAUUAUGUAACUAUAUUUGUACAAUAAAGAUAGAAAUUGACUUUUUCUCUUGAAAUAGAAAUUGUAACAUAAUAGACUGAGGCCCUGUUUGGUAACCGUCCAAACAGGGCCAAAUUCGGAUUCUUUGUUCCUGGAAUCAGUUUGGGCCUAGAAUCGCGUUUGGUAAAAUUUUUGUUCCCGGGAACAGAUUGGGAAUAGAAUCAAGAACAAAAAAAAAAAAAGUUGAUUCUUGUUCCAGGAACGAAUUUGAGAAUCAAAAUCAAGAACCCUCCUUCUUCCCUUCAGCCAUCUCCCGACCGCCGUCCACCACCGCCCGCCACCGUCCGCCGUCCGUCGACGCCGUCGGCUGCCGUCCGCCGGUCCGGCGAGCUCGCCAGAGGCAAGCCCAGCCAUUGGCGAGCUCGCCGGAGGCUUGCCCAGUCGCCAGCAACGCUCGGCCUCCCAGAUCUGGCGAGGCCGAGCCUCGCCGGGGCUGGGUAGGGGUUGGGCAAGCCUCGCGACGCCCAGCCCCGCCGGUGGCCUGGCAAGCCUCGCCUAGCCCCGGCGAGGCCGGCCUGGCCACCGGCGGGGCUAGGCGAGCCUCGCCUAGCUGCCGGCGAGGCUCGGCCGACGAGGGCCGACCUCGCUGAGGGCCGGCGACACUCCAGUGAGGUCGUCGGCCCUCGUCUGGCCGAUCGCCGGUCCGGCGACCGGCCACAAGAAAGAAGAAGAAGAUGAGAAAAAGGGAAAAAAAAAAAAAACAGGAAAAAGAAAAGAAAAAAAUGAAAAAAAGAAAAGAAAAAAAGUAAAAAAAUUUUUAAAAUUUUUUAAAAAAAUUGAUUUGGAAUAGAAUUAAUGAGCACGGUACCAAACACAAUUCUAUUCCAGAAUGAGAAAUUUUGGACAGUUACCAAACGGCUUAAAAUGCUUAGAAUUAGUUCCCGGGAACAGAAUAAAAAAGAAUAAGUUCCGAUCAGAAUCUACUCCCGGGAACAGAAUCGUUACCAAACGCGCCCUGACAGUCUGACAAUAUGUGAAAUGAUUAAUAUCACGAAAAACUCCAAAUUGAUACAUUUGUAACUAAUUUAUUUCAAACUAAUUAUUUGACCAUCAAAACUCAAAACUAGUACACCCAUAAUAAAUUUAUUCUAAAUUAAUUUUUUCACCACGAAAACAUCCAACUAGUACACCUAAGACAAAUUUAUCCAAAACUAAUUUUUUUACCAUCAAAAACCCAAAAUCGAUAUAUUCAUAACAAAUUUACCCAAACUAUUUUUUGACCACUAAAAGAAACCCAAACUAGUACAUUAAAACAAAGUUAUUUUAUGUUAUUUUAUGUUAAAUUAGAUUGACAUCAUGACAAACCACAAACAAAAACAAACGGAUGAUAAAAUCUCAAGCUAGUAUAUUCUUUAACUGUUAUGUAUCAUUCAACUUAGUAAUUUAAUGAUAAAAUUUAGAAUAAAAUAAUGGAGGGUAAAUUUAUCAUAGGUGUACCCGUUGAUGGUUUAGUUUGGGGUAAAUUUAUUACAUGUGUACCAAUUUGGGGAUUCUGGUGAUAAAAAAAAUCUAUCAAUAAAAUUGACUUUAUUAUAUACAAUAUAUUAUAUGAUAGGAAACACAUACAUAACCUAUCGAUAAUUUAAUAUAUAGAGUAUAAUUAAUUUGGUUCAAUCAAAUACGAACUGCAGUAAAUAAAAAAAGUUAAGAGUUAAUUUUACUCAAUUAAAGAAUGAUUAUUGGUUGGAAAAAUGACAAAAUAGUCAUGUCAAUUUAAAAAAAAAUCAUAUAUAUAACCCAUGAUGAAUUCAUUUUACAUCAUUCGAAUAAUGAACGACAAAUUUCAUUUUUAUUGAUUUUUCUUUAAUUAUUUAAAUUUCAUAAUUAUUGUCACUACUAUAACUCAAAUAAAUUAAAUUUUCAUAUCGGUUAUAUGUGAAAAAAGAUAAGGAGUUUGGGUAAACAUGAGUUUCAACAAAUUUUGAAAUAUAAAACUCAUGUAAAGCAUGCUCAAGUGCACUAUUUAUUUAAGAAAUAGUAAUUAUAGCAACUCUGUCGGGUGUAAAAAUAUAGUUACACAUGGGAUCAAUACAAAUGAGUUCCAUAAUUCAUAUAACAGUCAUACAAACAAGUACCAUGUACUAUUCUGAGGCAUGCUCAGACCAUUAAAAUAGACGUAAUAAAAUAAUAAAUCACAGCAUGUGGUAUCACGGCUCCAAAUUCACAUAAAGUGGUUCAAGGACUAGCAGCAGCCAUAGGCGUGUCCUUCGGAACGACAGGCAAAGUUGGCUUAGGGAAAUCUGGGAGAUGAGGCAAUUCGGGCACUUCCGGCACUUCCGGCUUCGGUAUUGUCGGUAAUUCAGGCUUUGGCAGUUCCGGAAGUGGCGGCAACUCAACUUUCGGCAGUGAUGGCAAUUCUGGCUUUGGCAAGCUCGGUAUGUCAGGAAGGUGCGGCAAUUCGGGCUUCGGCAGUCCGGGCACCUCGGGCAACGUCGCCUCCAAAAUUCGGCUAGCGCCAACCGAGUUCUUGCCGAUCAUCAAGGACAGAGCAAAGACAAACAAUGCCAAAAGAUGUGCAAGUCCACGAUCAUUCGCCAUCGCAGGACCGAUCGACUAGCAAAUUUAAAAACUUCGAGUGAAGAAGCGACGGAUCUCAAGUGAGGAGGUGCAGGUGUGCUUGAGCAAUGGCUUGAUGGAGGGUUUAUAAAGAGGAGGGACGUGGGGAUUGGGGAGAUUACAAGUAUGGUUUGGUGGGAUUUUGUCGAAGUGUUAGUUCGACUUCUAGACCAAUCUCAUUUCCGUUUGUUCAACAACAAGAUGGAGCAGAUGAUUCCAGAAAGGACCUUGCCAAUUAUUGGCUUUCAACGCUUGUAAACCAUCAGUCGUGCUGGUAUUAUAUAGCUUUUGUUUUGGUUUUCCUAUAAAUAGUUAAUUGGUAACCGUACUUCUAUCAUGAACUACGAUCAUUGUAAAUGAUAUCCUAAAAAUGACCAUCCCGACACACGCAAGCUGAUUUACAUAUGAAAUGAAAAAACUGAGACUAGGUAAAACUAUCUAGAACUAACGUCUUGAAAUAUCUUUUCCGCAAUCCAUCUCAUGUGAUGGAAUGAUAGCCAAGCUUGCAAGGUUUUUCAAUUAUUUGAUAAAUUUUAUACUAUGUUCUUUGACUAGUAGUACACGUGAUUGAUGAACGAAUUAAAGAUCAACAAAUAUUUGAUAACCAACGCAAUACAACCAGAGAAGUCUCAAAACAUAUCUCAAAUCUGAUAUAAUCGUAUGCUUUUAUGGAGCAGAAUAUAAAGUAUAUAUGUAUCUAUUGCGGACCGGUUUGAAAUUGGUCUACUAUCUUAUAAUGACAUUCGAAAAUUAAAUGAAAAACUUCUUUUCUUACCGAAAUUGAAUCUUGAGAAUUUUUCAAGGAAAGUAAAAAUAUAAAGAAAAAAACUCAAAAAGUUCUUUACCGGAAUACAUAUGUGAAAAGUAAGUCCAUUCAAUUUAACGAGAAAGAUUCUUUUCUUUUUCCAAAUAGAUUGAUAAGAUUUUUUGCGGAAAGUAACAAUUUAAAGGAAAGUAUCUUAAGUCUCAAUCUAAAUAUAUUUAGGUGAUAUUGUGUAGUAUUAUGUUUAGACAGAAGUCUUUUUAUUUUUUUCAAGGAAAUUUUGAGAGAGAAGAAUAUUAAAGAUUAACAUAUAUAUCAAAUAUUAUUUAAUGUAAUAAUGAAUGAGAAAAUGUCUAUGAUUAUUAAUUUAAGUAAAAUUGACUAUAUGAGCACGAUAAAUGAUGUGAUAUAUAAAAAAAAGUGUAAAUAUAUCUAUAUUUGAGAGAGAGAGAGAGAGGGAGGGAGAUUAACUUUUCACCCGAAUUAGAAGUUUGAGCUAAAUAGAUUGACAUUAUGCAAAAAAAUAUAUCAAGAAUAGAAAAAAAAAUGAUCUAUAAUGGCUAAGUUGUCUAUACAAUACAAUGUAUGCCAUGUUAUAGAAAACAUCGAUAAUAUUUAACGCAUAUCGAUACUAUAACAUAGAUCUUAAAAUUACUUCGGUUCAAUUCAAUACAAAAUGAAAUAAAAACAACUAUUAGAGUUAAUUUUACUUAAUUGAAGAAUGAUGAUUGCUUGAAACAUAAAAAAAUAGUUGUGUCAAAUUAAAAGGGAAAAUACUCUAUUAUAAAUUCAAGUUUAGUAAAUAAGAUGUUCAAUAAGUGGAUUUAUAAUUUAUAUGUAAGAUAAAUGAACCUAUAUCACUCGAUCAUAUAACAAACAUGUAAUUUUGCUGAUUUUUUUCUUCAAAUAUUUAAAUUCUAUGAUAAGUUAAAUGUGUAUAAAGUAGAUAAUGAGUUUUAGUAAACAUAAAUUUGAUAUAUUUUGAAAUAUAAAACACAUGAAGCAUAAGAAAGUGUACUAGUUUUUUAAGAAAGAGUAACUAUAGCAUACUCUGUCGACGUAAAAGAAGAGUUACACAAGAUAUCAUAAACUAUCAUACAAAUAAGUUCCAUAAUUCAUAUCACAAACUGUCAUACAAAUGACUAUAUAUAGCAUAUAACAUUCUGAGGUGAACACUGACCAUUACAAUAGAAGUAAUAGAAUACAAAUUCAUAUCAUAUUGAAUCCCGACUACAAGUUCACAUCACAACAGUUCAAGGACUAGUAGCAGCGACAGACAUGUCCUUCGGAACAGAAGGAAAUGUUGGCUUAGGGAAAUCGGGAAGGUGAGGCAAUUCAGGCACUUCUUGCAAUUCUGGCUUUGGUAAAGUUGGAAAUUCAAGCUUUGGAAGUUCAAGCACUUUUGGCAAUUCUGGCUUCGGUAUUGUUGGAAAUUCAGGCUUUGGUAGUUCGAGAAGUGGUGGCAAUUCGACUUUUGGCAGCGAUGGCAAUUCUGGUUUUGGCAGGCUUGGGAUGUCGGGAAGCUAAGGGCCUGUUUGGCAACGUGCCAAACAGUGCUAGAUUCUGAUUUUUUGUUCCCAUAAUCAGUUUGGGACGAGAAUCGCGUUUGGUAAAUUUUUUGUUCCCGGGAACAAUUUUGGACAAGAUUUGAGAAUUAAAAAAAAUUUGAUUCUCCGUCCGAGAAUCAGAAAAAGAAUCAAAACGGUGAAACCCUCGCUCUUCCCUUUCAUCAUCCUGGUUGCCGUCCAUCACCGCCCGCCACCGUCCGCCAUUACCCGCUGCCGCCGUCCGCCGCCGGUCGCCAGAGGCUCGCCAGGCCAGGGCGAGGUCCGGCGAGCUCGCCGGAGGCAAGCCUAGCCACCGGCGAGGUCGGCCUGGCCACCGGCGGGGCUGGGCGAGUCUUGCCGGCAGCUGGGCGAGGCUCGGCCUCGCUAGAUCUAGCAAGGCCGAGCCUUGGUGGGGCUGGGCGAGCCUCGCCUAGCUGCUAGCGAGGCUCGACCGACAAAGGCCAACCUUGCCGAGGGUCGGCGACCAGCCAUAUGAAGAAGAAGAAGAAGAAUAGGAAAAAAGGGGAAAAAAAAAAGGAAAAAAGUAAAAAGUAAAAAAAAUUAUUUGGAACAUAAUCAAUUAACACGGUAUUAAACGCAAUUCUAUUCCAGAAUAAAAAAAUUUGGACAGUUACCAAACGCGCUUUUUUACUCAGAAUCAGUUCCCGGGAACAGAAUAAAAAAUAAUCAUUUCUAGUCAGAAUCAGCUCCUGAGAACAGAAUCGUUACCAAACGCGCCCUAAGGCAAUUCUGGCUUCGAUAGUUCAAGCACUUCAGGCAAUGUCGUGUCCAAAAGUUGGCAACUCCAACGUGGUUCUGGCCGAUUGUCAAAGACAAAGCAAGGUUAGUGAGUCCGCAAUAGUUCGCCAUCGUGGAAUUGAGCGACUAGCAAACCAAUAAACCUUGAGUGAAGAAGCGGUGUGUUUGAGCAAUGGCUUGAUGGAGGGUUUUUAAAGAGGAGGGAUCUAAGUAGCACCGACAUAUGACACGGACACGCGACACGACACGACAUGACACGUUGACACGGCAUUUAUAAAAAAUAGAGAAUUUCAACACGUUGUGACAUGUUAUAUACUAAAUGAAUAUUUUUUAUUUUUAAUUAAUUUAAUUCAAAUUCAUAAAUAAAUAAUUAAUUAAAAAAAGAGUCUAUAAUGAAUUUACACUAAUAAUAUUAAUAAAUCAAUUCAUUAGAAAUUCGAAAGAUAUAAUCAUAGUUAAUGCGAAACAUGUUUUUGACUAUAACAAAAGUUAUUGAUGAAAUUAAUGACUAAUAAGAAAUUAGAAUCAAUUUAUUUAUAUAAAUCCACGAUUUUUUUACAAUGACCAAAAUUUAUCAUUAUUCAAAAUUCAAUACUUUUAUUUUUCGAAAUUAUUUUUUAAUCUCAUUUAUUUAAUUUUCCAAUUAAAAACAAAAAUCCCCAGAGGUCCACCCCUUCUUUCCCUCGUCCAUUUCCCUCGACCCGAAAUUUAUUUACUGUCGGGCACUCCACCACUCCUGCAAAACCACCUGGCAAAGAGGCUGUCACUUCCCUCCCCCCAAACUCAAAAAUCACGCCAUCAAUCCCCCCCCCCUCUAGCCACCCUCCUUUUCCUUCUCCUUCUCGCCGCUGGCCGCAUGACCCCCUCCCCUUCCUCUCCUCUUCCUCUCGAUCCUUCUCCUCCUCCUCUUUGCCGCACGACCACCUGCCUCUCUGCACGACCCCCUUCCUCUCCUCCUCCUCCUCCUCCUCCUCCUCGUUGCCGAUCCAUUGCAACAGUGGCGGCCCUCACUUCAGUUUUUGCUCUCUCUGACCGUCUCUUGCUGUUGCGGUGGUCCGUUGUGUGGCUUUGUCUCACUAGCAGGAGUUUGCUUUCUCUGUCUUCUUUCCCUCCAUCGUCUUCUGGACACACGUGUCGAAAUGUGUCGAGAAACGUUGACCACGUGUCCGACCGUGACACGCUCCGACACGUGUCGGACAUGACACGGAAGCAUGGGCAACGUGUCCAUGCCUCAUAGGGAGGGACAUGGGGAUUGGGGAUUGGGGACAUUACAAGUAUGUUUUGGUGGGAAAAAUAAUCUAAUUGUUGGUUCAACUUCUAAACCAAUCUCAUUUUCUUUUGUUCAACACAAGAUGGAGAAGACUCCAAAAAGGUAUCUUGCCACUUCUGGGCUUUCUAAGCCUGUAACUAUCAGCUGUGCAAGAUUUCUCAGCUACGCCGGAAAAAGAAACGAAAGGAGAUGGUUUAUGAUAUCACUCUAUGUACUAGGACGUAGUCCGGAGUUUUGGUUGAAGAAGUCAAUAAUUUAAGGAUAAAAAUCUAAGUUUUGUCAGCGAUCAUUGUACACGAAAUGUAUGCUUAUCUUAAACUUGUCUAAAUUUAUUAAGUGCAUUAAAUAAAUUCAUUAACCUUCUCUUCAGUUUUCCAUUCCCUUUCUCUAUUAUAUCCAUUCACGUGCACUCAAUACUUUCCAAUUUCAAUUUCUAUGUAUCCAUUUGCAUGCUAGAGUUAAGGAUGAUGGUCACUUACAUUCAAUUUUUUUUUUUGGGUAUGGCUGGCCUUUUUUUCACCUAUAAGAGGGUAGAAUAUUUCUUAUUCUGGUCUUUAUUUGCAUUUCAUCUCCUUUUUUUCUCCCCAGAAAUGGAUCUUAGUUGCAAAAUUAAUUCAUGAGAAAUCGAUUUUUCUUUUUCUAAUUUAAUCUUGACUUGCUAUUGAAUGGAUAAUCGGUUAUCAUCACUCCCAAUUAGAUUAGAAAAAAUGACUACAUCUCAAUAUAUCAAUUUACAUCCGAACUGUAAAAAAUAAGACUCGGCAAUAAUCUAUUUCUUAUGUAUGGAUCAUCUUUCUUACCGGUAUCUCGAAAAGCAAAUGAAUUUUUUUUUUUUUGGCAUAAACAUUUUUGUUGAGUGUCUUAAAAAAUUAACUACAUUUAAAAAUGCAGCAAACAUACAAAGAGAUAAGAGGAAUGGUGAGGGAUUUUGAUUUCACGUGAAUUAGCAAAAACGAUUGAGCACUUAUGAGCUGAAACUUUCUUCUAUGCAAUCCAUCUUAAAUGACAAUAUAAUAGCCAACCUGGCAAGGUUUUUUUUUUAAAACUAUUUAUGAAUUUUAUAUUAUGCUUUCCAGAUAGUAGUGUACGUAAUUGAUGAACAAACAAAAGAUCAAACAAAUAUUUAAUAACCGACUUAAUACUACCAUAGAAGUUUCAACACAUAUCACAAAUAUGAUAUAACCAUAUUCUUGCAUGUGGUAGCUUAUUAACUAUAAAUGUAUCUACAACACACGGGUUUGAAAACUAGUCUAAUAUAUAAUAGGGGCUUCUGAACAUUAAAUGCAUUCAAUUUAAUGAGAAACAUUCUUUUCUUAUCCAAAUUGAAGUUUUAGAUUUUCUUUUUUUCACUUGAAAUAGAAUUAGUCGCAGAAAAGAGUGGGAAUAUGCGAAACAAGAUCCAAGAAUAGAAAAAAAAAUGAUUUAAUAACAGUAAAGUUGAGUAUGAUCUGCAUUAUAUAUUAUUUGAUAGAAAAAGUACAUAAUGACUAACAUGCAUCAAUACCAUAACAUAUAGCGAAAAAUUACUUUGGUUUAAUCAGAUACAAAAUUUAGUAAAGUACAAAUAUUAGAGUUGAUUUUGCUUGACUAAAGAAUGAUGAUUGCUUAAAAUGACAAUAUUUGUGCCAAAUUAAAAGGAAAAAUAAUCUACGAUAAUUCAAUUUUAAUAAAAUAUGAUAUAUAAGAUGUUUGAUGACUUAAAGUGUAUUUAUAAUUUGUAUGUAAGACAAAUGAACCUAUCUCAGUCCAUCAUAUAAUAAAAGAUGCAUUUUUUCUGAUUUUUUCUUCAAUUGUUUAGAUUAUGUCACCGUUAUCACUCUAAAAUAUUAAAUUCCCAUAUAAGUUAGAAGUGAAAAAAGUGGACAAGGAAGUAACAUAGAUAUCUUCUAUUUUGAAAUAUAAAACUCGUACAAAACAUAGGGGAGUGCACUAGCUAUAUUAAAUAAGAGUAAUAAUAGUAUACACUAUUGAUGUAAAAAAAUAGUUACACAAGACAUCACAAACUGUGAAGGAGUUCCAUAAUUCAUAUCACUAAAACAAACAAGUAUUGUAUAGUGUUCUGAGGUAUGCUCAGACCAUUAAAAUAGAAGUAAUAAAAUACUGAAUCGCAUCAUGUUGUAUAACGACUCCAAAUUCACAUUAAUGGCUCAAGGGCUAGUAGCAGAGACGGCUGUGUCCUUGGGAAUCGUGGGAACGAAAGGCAAUGUUGGCUUGGGAAAAUUAGGAAGAUGAGGCACUUCGGGCACUACCGGCAAUUCCGGCUUUGGUAUUGUUGGAAUUUCGGGCUUUGGUAGCUCACGAAGCGGUGGCAAUUCGACUUUCGGCAGUGAUGGGAAUUCUGUCUUUGGCAAGCUAGGGAUGUCAGGAAGUUGAGGCAAUUCAGGCUUCGGCAAUUCCGGCACUUCUAACGACUCUGGCUUCGGUGUUGCUGGAAAUUCAGGCUUUGGUAGUUCAGGAAGCGGUGGCAAUUCGACUUUCGGCAAUGAUGGGAAUUCUGGCUUUGGCAAGCUAGGGAUGUCAGGAAGGUGAGGCAAUUCAGGCUUCGGUAGUUCGGGCACUUCGGGCAAGGUCGCCUCCAAAAGUUGGCGGGCUCUGACUGGGUUCUCACCAAUCGUCAAAGACAGAGCGAGGACAAACAAUGCCAAAAGGUGCGUGAGUCCAUGAUGGUUCGUCAUUGGAGAAUCAAUCGACUAGCAAAUUCAAAAGCUUUGAGUGAAGAAGCGGCGAAUCUCGAGUGAGAGAAUCUGCAGGUGUGCUUGAGCAAUGGCUUGAUGGAGGGCUUAUAAGGAGGAGAGACGUGGAGGAUUGGGGAGAAUGCAAGUAUGGUUUGGUGGGAAUAUUAUCAAAGGGUUAGGUCAACUUCUAAACCAAUCUCAUUUUUGUACGUUCAACAGCAAGAUGGAGCAUAUUAUUCCAAAAGGAGCUUGCCAAUUCUUGGCUUUUCAGGCUUCUGACUACCUGUCGAGGCCAGAAAGAGGGAGAAAAAAAGAAAAGAAAUGGUUUAUGAUCUCACUAUGUACAACAGGACCGGAGUCUUGGAGUCUUAAAAUAUUGGAAAAGCUAAUCAUGUAAGAGCAAAAUAAUAAAUAUUGUCCGUGAUAAUUAUUCGUGGAAUCUUUACUUGAUGUAAGGAUUACUCAAGUGUUAAGCAUGUAUGUUUUCGUCUGAGGCCUAGGUUCGAAUCCUCACAAUUGUGCAUUCUUUUGGACGAUCUUUGAGAACAUAGGUAUGUAUGAAUCCGAUUAUUUCUCAUUUGUGUCGGAUAAAACUACUCUUGCCGGAAAAAAAACAAAACUUUAGGUGACAAAUUUUUAGGGACAGACAUAAAAAGAGAUCCUUAAACAGAGUUUCUAGUUAGGGGUGAGUAGUUCUAAGGUUGGUUUAGGUUUCCACUUAACCAGAACUUGGAAUUUACCCUAUUGAGAUCGGUUUCCCAAUUUUUGAAACUUAAAACCUAUCAUGUAUAUCUUAAAAUUUAUGACCUGCUCUAUCAAUCGAAUCUAAAGUCUAUUAGGGAACCGGCCGAUUUCUCUUCUUCUUCUUCUUUUUUUCAUUUUUUCUUCAUUUUUCUUGUUUCAUUUUAGUCAAGCAAUAGAGAGAACAUGACAACAAAAAUCAUCAUUUGUCAAUAACAAUAAUCUAUAAAAUAUUAGCACCUAAAAUAAAAUAAACAAUAAAAUGUUGAAAACGCAUAAUGUAGAAUCCAAAUUUCAUGCUCUCAAAGGAGUCAAAAACCACGAUAAAAACCAAGGAGUCGAAUGAAGGAACUUUCUUUUUAUUUGAGCCUCGUGUAAGUUCAUGCCAUGCUCUAUUUUAGGAGUACCUUGGUUCUUGUUCUAGUUCUCUGAUUUUCAGUCUGAUUCGCUGAUUCUUAGUUCAAUUCUAUUCAAUUCUUAAGAAUCGCAUAAUACAAGUUCCAAAAAAUAUGAAACCGAAAGCUAUGCUUGUUAGAACCUAGAGAUAGGCCGAUUCCCAUGACCUGUUUGAUCUUUCUUGAUUAUACUUGGAAAAUUUGCUCACCCUCAACUUCUUGUUCCGUCCCUACGGAAAUAUUGAACGAGCCAUCGUUAAUGGUAAUAGUGUAAAUGAUUCAGUUUGGUUCGGUUUUUUCGGAAAACCCAACCAAACCGAACCGAUAAAGAAAUUUAUUGAAUCGAACUGAAAUUACAUCCAAAUCGAAACCGAAUCGAAUCGAAAUCUUGAUUCAAUUUAGUUCAAUUUUUACUUUUUUUUUUGUUUUUCUUUUCCCUACCCCUUUUAAUAAAUUUUUUAUAUUUUAGAAAAAUCAAAUUUUUAAUUAUUUUUUUCUUUUUUUCUUCUUUUUUCCUUUUCUUUCUCUUCUUCAUUCGCUAGUCACUAACUGCCACCGUGGCUGGCAAUUAGCCAAUGAAGAAGAAGAAAAAGAAAAAAGAAAAAAAAUAAAAAUAAACAAUUUAAAAAAAUAAAAUGAAAUAUUUUAGAUUUUAUUGGUUUGGUUCAAUUAACCAAACUGAUAAAAACUGAACUAGUUAAAAAAAUUUCGAUUUUUAAUGAAAAUCGAAUAGAUUGAGAAUCAAACCGAAAAAAAAAAAAAAUCGACAUUUUCGGUUUGGUUCGGUUUUUGACACCCAAGUGAAUGGGCUAGGGGAUAAAUCUAACAUGAAAACUUCAAGUGAAAUCCCAACCUGAAAUAAGAGAAGCGAAGCCCGUCGCAAAAAGAGAAGCCCACCUCCCACUUGAUUUUCUCCCGGCCUCUUCCUCUCCCUUUCCACCCUGCAAAAAGCUCAGCUCGAGUUUCUAUCGGUGUCUCCUUCGCACUCCAGCUGCAGCUCGUCGAUCUCGCGGACGAGAGCUUCUUCAGAUCCGGAUUCCCCGUCGGCUUUCUCCUUCACGGUCUCCGCAGGUCACUUUUCCCUCUCUCUCUCUCUCUCUCUCUCGCGCGCGCGCAUUUCUCUGGCCAAUGUGGGGAGACGAUUCGCGAAGCGGUCGACUGGGGCGGAUGUUUGGAUCGUGGGUUGUGGGAGUUACCGGGUCGGGUCCUUCGUUUCCCCUUAUCUUCUCACUUUUGGGGGGCAUAGCUCAUCUGGGUUGCUCUUGCCAACGAACUAACCCGGCGUGGUUGUAGGCGGUGCCGUGUCUUGUGAGUGCUUGCCCACCUUGUGUUCGCCAUAAUGUUUCACUGGAUUUAUGUAGAGGAGGAGGGUUUUCCAGACUCCUAUUUGCUUCUCUAAUUAUACAUUUUCACGCUUAGUAUUAGGUGAAAAUACCAUACUAAGCAUGACAUGAAAUGUUAGAAUAAUUAAUUAACUUAAUUUUUUAGAACAGUAGUUGAUAUUAGUCCCACAUAAUCUCACUGAACGAGAGAGAGAGAGAGUAAAAGCAGAGACGACCCCACACAACAUACCUACUUUGGCUGCCCAUCAUAAAUUAGAACGUUAACUGACAUGUUCUCGGCGGAGGCAUGGUGGCGAUGAGGUACUGAUGCUGAACUCCACUUCAAUGCCAAUGCCAAUCUGGGUUUUUUCUUCUUUUGUUCGUCUGCAUUAGCUCUUUCACAAGUGCUUGGAACUUCAUCAAUAACCAAUGAAACGCUACCACAGAAGUUUCUGACACCAUAUCUCAAAUAUGAUGCGAUCCUCAUCCCUUAUAUGUAGUGGAAUUUUAAGUACAGAUGUAUCUAUAUUAACACAGGUUUGAAAACUAGUCUGAUAUAUUCCGACCAAAAUGAGAAAAAAAAAACUUGUCCGAUAUAUCAUCAGCCUUUUGAACGUUACAUGCAUUCAAUCUAAUGAGAAAGAUUCUUGUCUUUUGCAAAUAGAAUGAUUAGGUAAUUUCAAGAAAAGUAGAGAAUUUAAAGGAAAGUCUUUGAGAAUCUCAAUCUAAUUACCAAUAUUUAGAUGAUAUUGUUUAUGACUUUGUGUAGUAAAGUAGAACAUGUAUAGAGAGAAGUCAAUAUACUUUUUCAAGUUAAAAGAAAUAAAAAUAGUUUAUGAUAUAUUCAACUAUCGUAAAAAUAUGAACUAUAAAUAUAUAUAGUGAAUUUAAAAUUUAAUAUAUGACAAAUGAUCAUACACUAUUCGAUUGUAUAAUAAACAGCACAUUUUACAUUUUUGUUGAUAUUCUUUUUCACAAUUUAAAUUCCAUGACUAUUGUCAUUCUUAUAACUCUAAAACUAUGAAAAGUUUUCAUAUAAGUUGGAUGUGAAAAGAAGUAGACAAGGAGUUUUAGCAAACAUAAAUUUCAAUAUUUUUGAAAGUAUAAAACUCAAGCAACGCAUGGACAAGUGCACUAGGUAUAUAAACAAAUUACAGUAUACUCUCUCCGUGUAAAUGAAGAAGUUACGCAAAGCAUCACUAACUGCCGUAAUAACGAUUUCCGUUAAGUCAUGUCACAAACCGUAAUACAUAUAAGUACACAUGGCAUAUACCAUUCCAAGGCAUGAUUAGACCGUUAAAAUAGAAGUAAUAAGAUACUAAAUCGCAGCAUAUUCUAUCACGACUCCAAAUCCACAUCAUUGCGGUUCAAGACUACGGGUCUGCAUGGUAACCUUCCACAGCCCAAAAAUUUAUAUUCUUCUCUUCCCCAGAACAAAAAAAGAAUAGAAACCCGUUUGAUAACAACAAGUUAAUUUUUUGUUCCCGGGAACAAAAUGUUAGCCCGGGAAUGGUUUUGGAAUAGAAAUGAGAAGUAAAAAAAAAGUUGCUUCUUGUUCCCGGGAACAAGUUUAAGAAAUAAGUGAAUUUUUUUUUUCUUUUAUUCUUCUCUUGCUAACCGCCAUUGACCACCGUUGACCACCACCCGCCGUUGUUCGCCGCUGCCGGCCGACCGCCGCCCGCCGCCGGCCGACCGCCGGCCGACCGCCGACCAACCGCCGGCCGCCUCCGCCGCCGCCGCCGGUCGCCGGAGGCCGAUCGACCGUCGCCGGUCACUACUGGACGCCGCCGCCACCGCCGGCUGCUGCCGGUCGCCGGAGGCCGACCGACCGUCGCCACCGCCGGUCGCCGCCGCCACCGCCGGUCGCCGACCGACCGUCGCCGCUGGUCAACCCCGGACGCCACCGGUCGCCGACCGACCGUCGCCGCCGGCCGACCGUUGCCGCGGCCACCGCCGGUCGCCGGAGGCCGACCGACCGCCGCCGUCGGUCGACCGCGAUCGCCGCCGAACGCCGCCGCCGCCGCACGUCUCCGCCGGCCGAGCGCCGCCGGCCGACCGACGGUCGGCGGCGGCCGAUGGGCCGUGCGGUAGCGAUUGGCGGCGAGAGUCGGCCGGCGGCGCUCGGCCGGCGGCGACGUGCGGCGGCGGCAGCGUCCGGCGGUGGCCAUGGUAUACCGGAAAAAAUAAAACACAAAUAAAUAUAAAAAAUAAACUGUUUUUUACCAAACGCAUUUCUAUUCUUUUUCUAUUUCUAGAGUAAAAAUUUUGUGUAGUUAUCAAACGGGUUUUUUUACCUAGAAAUUGUUCUCCAGAAUAGAAAUAAAAAAGAACUAUUUCUGAAAAAAAAUUGUUCCCCAGCCAAGAAAUGUUCUCAUGCGCACCCAUAGACAUGUCCUUCAGAAAGAAAGGCAACGUUGGCUUGGGGAAAUCGGGGAGAUGAGGCAAUUUGGGCAAUGCUGGCAAUUCCAGCUUGGGUUUUGUUGGUAUUUCAGGCUUUGGCAGUUUUGGAAAUAGCAGUAAUUCGACUAUUGGCGGUGAUGGCAAUUUCGGUUUUGGCAGGUUUGGGAUGUCGGGAAGGUGAGGCAAUUCGGACUUCAGAAGUUCAGGUACCUUAGGCAACACUGCCUCCAAAAUUCGGCGAGCUUCAACGGAGUUCUCGCCAAUCGUCAAUGACAAAGCAAGGACAAAUAAUGCCAAAAGAUGCGAGAGCCCACAGUAGUUCGCCAUCAUAGAACCAAUAUACUAGCAAAUUGAAAAACUUGUGAAGAAGUGGUUGAUCAAGUGUAAAGGUGCAGGUGUGUUCGAGCAAUGGCUUGAUGGAGGGUUUUUAAAGAGGAGGGACGUGGGGAUUGGGGAGAUUGCAAGUAUGUUUUGGAGGGAAAAUUAUUGAAGUGUUCGUUGAACUUCCAAACCAAUCUCAAUCUCUUUUAUUCAACAACAAGAUGGAGCAGAUAAUUCCAAAAAGGAUCUUUAUAUUCUUGGCUUUUUUAAGCUUGUAAGUGCGAGUUGUUUUGGACUUCCUAGCUAGGCGGGAAAGACAAAAGAAAGGAAAUGAUUUAUGAUCUCACUCUAUGUACAAGAGGACGAAGUCCAUAGCUUUGCUCAGAGAAGUCAACAAUGUUAACAGUAAAAUCUAAGUUUUGCCAGUGAUAAUUAUACAUGAAAAAUAUUCUUGAUGCAAGGAUUGCUCGAGUGGUAGGAAUAUUACUUCUCUUUCUCUGAUAAUUUCAUAAACUUGUGUAUCUGGUAAUUUCUUGAUAUGCGUGGGACAAGGCAGCAACCACUUAACACCAUUUUGGGCCUCAAUAGAGAAGCUUAUGGUCAAGUUGAGGGUAAGGCCACCAACUUUGGAGGGAGUUGGUGGCGUACAAGCCGACUUCGGAGGAGAUGUUAAUUGCUUCUUGAGAAAGUGAGGGUUUAAGAUCCACGAAAUUGCGAAGUUAAGAAGGAGAAGACUAAGCGGUACGGGAAAUUGAAGAACUGCCAACCUCCGAUGAAACUAAAGAUUGAAUGAAACAAUUCAAUUGGGUAAUUGAAGGACUCUCAGUAGAGAGCACCAAGGACAUCAAUCAAUUGGAUGGGGGAGAAUAUCACGGACCGGAGGUUCUCAGGUGCGAUAGGCUGAGGAGGUGGCAAUGUGACCGGGCGUGCCUUAGAUUUAGAGAAGCCCCGUCAUUAAUGGAGGUAUGUGGUAAAUGAAGAGAUAUAUAAAUUUUUUGUAUAUCUCCACUUUUUUCAUCCUAGGAAGAAUAGGUAUUCAUUACUAUGGUCUUUAUGUGUAUUUAAUUCUCUCUUUUCCUCUUCCCCUCAAAAAGAGCGGUCCAAGGGUCACAAUCAAUUCGGGAGAAAUUAGUUUUUCUUUUCUUUAUUUGAUCUUGACUUGCAGUUGGAUGAAUAUUUGGUUAUUAUCCUUCUAAAUAAUAUGCUGAAUAUUACUACAUCUCAAUAAAUAUACACGCUGAUUCACAAUGAAAAAAAAAAAAGAAUUGGUGAGAAUCUAUUCCUUAUUUAUGGAUCAUCCUUCUUAUCAGUAUCUAGGAAAGCAAUUGAUUUUUUUUUUUGACAGAUACUUUUUUUAUUAAUUCAAAUUCAAAUUUGUUAAGUGACAAGUUAACUAUACUUCAAAAUUUGGCAGAAAUACAUCGAGACAAAUAAAAAAUUGGUGAGGGAUUCUUUAUUUAUAAGAAGUAGCAAAACUGAUUUAGAGCUUAUGUCCUGAAAUUAUCUUUUGUGAUCUGUCUCAUCUUAUAACAUAAUGGUCAAGCUCGCAAGGUUUUUCACCGUUGGGGUAUUUGUGUCACCGUAGGCUUAUACAAGAUUUUUUAUAAUAUUAAUCUUAUGGAAAAAUAUAUAUAUAUAUAUAUAUAUAUAUAUAUGUAUCUAUUUUUUUACAAUAAGGAAAGAAAUCGACUUUUUUGCUUGAAAUAGAAAGUGUAACAAAAUAGACUGAUGAUAUACGAAAAUGUCAAUAUUAUGAAAAACUCUAAACUGAUACAUUUGUGACAAAUUUAUUUCUAUCUAAUUAUUUGACUACAAAAAACUCCAAACCGGUACACUUGUGACAAAUUUACCUAAAAUUAUUAUUUUAUUUUUUGUAAAGGGUAAGAAACCUAAAAUUAAUUUUUUGACCAUGAAAACAUUUAAAUUGGUACACCUAAAAUAAAUUUACCAAAAACUAAUUUGUUUGACCACCAAAAACCUCAAAGUGAUAUACCCCUAACAAAUUUACCCAAACUAAUUUUUUGACCACUAAAAAACCCCAAAGUGGUAUAUUUAGACAAAUUUCUUCUAUGUUAGCUUCUGUUAAACUGGAUUAACACCAUGAAAAACCGCAAACUAAAACAAACAGGGGGUAAAAUCCCAAACUAAUAUUUCUUUUCAAAUGUCACUUAUCAUCUAACUUAGUACUUUAACAGUAAAAUUUAAAAUAAAAUAAUGGAGGGUAAAUUUGUUAUAAGUAUAUUAGUUAUGGUUUUAGUUUGGGAUAAAUUUAUUACAUGUGUACUAGUUUGGGGUUUUUGGUGAUCAAAAAUUUAAUUAAGGAUAAAUUUAUCAUAAGUGUAUCAGUUUAGUGUUUUUAAUGUACCAGUUUGGAGUUUCUAUUUUUGAGAAUAGGAAAAUAGCAACAAAAAAAAAAGAUCUAUCAAUAAAAUUGACUAUAUCAUAUACAAUAUAUUAUGUGAUAGGGAACAUGUACAUAUUAAUUAACACCUGUCAAUCUUUAAUAUAUAGCGUAUAAUUACUUUGGUUCAAUCCAAUAUGAAUUGCAGUGAAUAUUUUUUUUUUUUUACUUAAUUAAAGAAUGAUGAUUGGUUGGAAAAUGACAAAAUAGUUGUGUCAAUUUUAGGAAAUAUAUAUAUAACCCAUGAUGAAUUCAUUUUAAGUAUACAUAUAAGACAAACAAACCUCUAUUGUCAUGAAGGGUUGAUACCUUGAAAAAUCUCAAACUAGUACACAUGUGAUAAAUUUAUCUUAAACUAAUUUUUUGACCAUGAAAAACCUCAAAUUGGUACACUCGUGAUAAAUUUACCUCGACUAAUCAUAAAAAAAAAUCUCAAACUAGUACAUUUGUGACAAAUUUAUCCCAAACUAAUUUAUUUGAUCGCCAAAAAACCCAAAUCGGUACAUUUUUGACAAAUAUACCCUCCAUUAAAUUAGAUUAAUAUCACAAAAAAUCACAAAAAUUGUAUUACGGUAACAAAUGGAGAAUAAAAUAUCAAAUUGGUACAUCAGUAAAUUGCCGCAUGUCAUUCAAUUUAGUAAUUUGAUAGUAAAAUUUAACGGAAACAAAUAGACAAUAAAUUUAUUACAAAAAAUUAGUUUUGGGUAAAUUUGUCAAGAGUGUAUCAGUUUGGGAUUUUUCAGGAUAUUAACCCAAUAAUGAAUGACGCAUUUUAUUUUUCUUGAUUUUUUCUUUGAUUAUUUGAAUUUCAUAAGUAUUGUCAUUACUAGAACUCAUAUAAAUUACAUUUUCAUAUUAGUUAUAUGUGAAACAAGAUAAGGAGUUUCAGCAAACAUGAGUUUCAACAAAUUUAGAAAUAUAGAACUCAUGUGAAGCAUGCUCGAGUGCACUAGGUAUUUAAGAAAGAGUAAUUAUAGCAACUCCGUCGGAUGUAAUAGUUUAGUUACUCAAGAUAUCACAAAUUGUCCCACAAAUAAGUUUCAUAAUUGUCCCACAAAUAUGUUCCAUAAUUCAUAUAACACUAUCAUACAAAAUAUACUGUUCCGAGGCAUGCUCAGACCAUCAAAGUAGACGUAAUAAAAUAUUAAAUCACAGCAUGUUGCAUCACGACUCCAAAUUCACAUCACAACGGUUCAAGGAUUAGUAGCAGCCGCAGGCAUGUCCUUCGCAACGAAAGGCAAAGUUGGCUUAGGGAAAUCGGGGAGAUGAGGCAAUUCGGGCACUUCCGGCAAUUCCGGCUUCGGUAUUGUUGGUAAUUCAGGCUUUGGCAGUUCCGGAAGUGGCGGCAAUUCAACUUUUGGCAGUGAUGGCAAUUCUGGCUUUGGCAGGCUUGGGAUGUCGGGAAGGUGUGGCAAUCCGGGCUUCGGCAGUUCGGGCACCUCGGGCAACGUCUCCUCCAAAAUUCGGCUAGCUCCAACCGAGUUCUCGCCGGUCAUCAAGGACAAAGCAAAGACAAACAAUGCCAAAAGAUGCACAAGUCCGCGAUAGUUCGCCAUCGCAGGACCGAUCGACAAGCAAAUUUAAAAACUUCAAGUGAAGAAUCGAUGGAUCUCAAAUGAGGAGGUGCAGGUGUGCUUGAGCAAUGGCUUGAUGGAGGGUUUAUAAAGAGGAGGGACGUGGGGAUUAGGGAGAUUACAAGUAUGGUUUGGUGGGACUUUGUCGAAGUGUUAGUUCAACUUCUAGACCAAUCUCAUUUUCGUAUGUUCAACAACAACAUGGAGCAGAUAAUUCCAGAAAGGACCUUGCCAAUUAUUGGCUUUCAACGCUUGUAACCAUCAGUCGUGCUGGUAUUAUAGCUUUUGUUUUGGUUUUCCUAUAAAUCGUUAAUUGGUAACCGUACUACAAUCAUGAACUACGAUCAUUGUAAAUGAUAUCCUAAAAAUGACCAUCCCGAUACACGCACAUAUAUAUAGCUGAUUUACAUAUGAAAUUAAAAACUGAGACUAGGUAAAACUAUCUAACGUCUUGAAAUAUCUUUUCCGCAAUUCAUCUCAUGUGAUGGAAUGAUAGCCAAGCUUGCAAGGUUUUUCAAUUAUUUGAUAAAUUUAAGACUAUGUUCUUUGACUAGUAGUACACGUGAUUGAUGAACGAAUAAAAGAUCAUCAAAUAUUUGAUAACCAACGCAAUACUACCAUAGAAGUCUCAAAACAUAUCUCAAAUAUGAUGUAAUCGUAUGCUUUUAUGGAGCAGAAUAUAAAGUAUAUAUGUAUCUAUUACGGACCAGUUUGAAAUUGGUCUACUAUAUUAUAAUGACAUUCGAAAAUUAAAUGAAAAACUACUUUUCUUACCGAAAUUGAAUCUUGAGAAUUUUUCAAGGAAACUAAAAAUAUAAAGAAAAUACUCAAAAAAUUCUUAACCGGAAUACAUAUGUGAAAAGUAAGUCCAUUCAAUUUAACGAGAAAGACUCUUUUCUUUUCCAAAUAGAUUGAUAAGACUUUUUGCGGAAAAUAACAAUUUAAAGGAAAGUAUCUUAAGUCUCAAUCUAAAUAUAUUUAGGUGAUACUGUGUAGUAUUACAUAUAGAAAGAAGUCUUUUUAUUUUUUUCAAGGAAAUUUUGAGAGAGAAGAUUAUUAAAGAUUAACAUGUAUAUCAAAUAUUAUAUAAUGUAAUAAGUAUUGAAAUUAACUUCAUGGGAAUGAGAAAAUGUUUUGAUUAUUAAUUUAAGUAAAAUUGACUCUAUGAGACUCGAUAUGUGAUGUGGUAUAAAAAAGAAAAAAAAUGUAAAUAUAUCUAUAUUUGAGAGAGAGAGAGAGAGAGAGAUAAACUUUUCACUCGAAUUAGAAGUUGGAGCUAAAUAGAUUGACAUUAGGCGAAACAAUAUAUCAAGAAUAGAAAAAAAAAAUGAUCUAUAACGGCAAAGUUGUCUAUACAAUACAAUGUAUGCCAUGUUAUAGAAAACAUCGAUAAUAUUUAACAUAUAUCGAUACUAUAACAUAGAGCUUAAAAUUACUUCAAUUCAAUUCAAUACAAAAUGAAAUAAAAACAAACAUCAGAGUUGAUAUUACUUAAUUGAAGAAUGAUGAUUGCUUGAAACAUGAAAAAAUAGUUGUGUCAAAUUAAAAGGGAAAAUACUCUAUGAUAAAUUCAAGGGAAAAUUCCAAAAAGGUACCCGAAAUACCCUAUUUUUUUCAAAUAAGAGCCUAAAGUGAAUCUUAUUUCAAAUAAGGACUGAAGUGCAUUUGUUUUCUCAAAUAAGGGUUUAAAGUGGAUGUUAUUUCAAAUGAGGACCUAAAGUAAUUAUGUUUAUUUCAAAUAAGAGCAUGAAGUGGCUAUAUCCGUUUGAAAUAAGAACCCGUCUUUCUAGCGAUCAAUGGUAUUUUCGUCAUUUGUCAUUUGUCCAUUUUUUUUUUUUUUUUUUCCAUUUUUUUGACUAGCUCUUGUUCCUCUUCGCCAAUGGCCAGCCGGCCAUUGGCAAUGCCCACAAAGGGCUGAGCAAGAGAGUGAGGGUCACCACACUCAAGCAAGGCUGUCCGUCACUUGUGGGCAGGGUGGGUGGCCCUUGCUGGUGGGGGCGACCCUCGCUUAGCCCUUUGUGGGCAUCACUGGCAAAAAGGAAGAAGAAUAACCAAAAGAAAAAAAGGAAAGAAAAAAAAAGUGAAAUGCAAAAUGACAAAAAUACCCUUGGCUGGUUGGAAAAUUUAGCCACUCAGCGAUCGGCGAGAUCAGGUCUUUAUUUGAAACAACCAAAGCCACUUCAGGCCCUUAUUUGAAACAACUAAGGCUACUUUAGGUUCUUAUUUGAAACAAAAUCCAUUCCGGGCCCUCAUUUGAGAAAACAAUAACACUUCGGGUCUUUUUUUGAAAUUUUCCCUAAAUUCAAUUGAAGUAAAUAAGAUGUUCAAUAAGUGGAUUUAUAAUUUAUAUGUAAGAUAAAUGAACCUAUAUCACUCGAUCCUAUAACAAACAUGUAAUUUUGCUUAUUUUUCCUUCAAAUAUUUAAAUUCUAUGAUAAGUUAAAUGUGUAUAAAGUAGAUAAUGAGUUUUAAUAAAUAUAAAUUUGAUAUAUUUUGAAAUAUAAAACACAUGAAGCAUCAGAAAGUGUACUAGUUGUUUAAGAAAGAGUAACUAUAGCAUACUCCGUCGGUGUAAAAGAAGAGUUACACAAGAUAUCAUAAACUAUCAUACGAAUAAGUUCCAUAAUUCAUAUCACAAACUGUCAUACAAACGACUAUAUAUGGCAUAUAACAUUCUGAGGUGAACACUGACCAUUACAAUAGAAGUAAUAGAAUACUAAUUCAUAUCAUAUCGAAUCCCGACUACAAGUUCACAUCACAACGGUUCAAGGACUAGUAGCAGCGAUAGACGUGUCCUUCGAAACGGCAGGCAAUGUUGGCUUAGGGAAAUCGGGAAGGUGAGGCAAUUCAGGCACUUCUGGCUUUGGUAAAGUUGGAAAUUCA
rnacentral:lncRNA from 1 species